rnacentral:rRNA from 1 species
AGGACGAACGCUGGCGGCGUGCUUAACACAUGCAAGUCGAACGAGAUCCAACCAGUGGCAACACUGGUGAAGAUCUAGUGGCGAACGGGUGAGUAACACGUGAGCAACCUGCCCCGAAGACUGGGAUAACAGCGGGAAACCGCUGCUAAUACCGGAUGUCCCCAUCGGACCACAUGGCCUGAUGAGGAAAAGGAUUCCGCUUCGGGAGGGGCUCGCGGCCUAUCAGCUUGUUGGUGAGGUAACGGCCCACCAAGGCGACGACGGGUAGCUGGUCUGAGAGGACGAUCAGCCACACUGGGACUGAGACACGGCCCAGACUCCUACGGGAGGCAGCAGUGGGGAAUCUUGCGCAAUGGGCGAAAGCCUGACGCAGCAACGCCGCGUGAGGGAUGAAGGCCUUCGGGUUGUAAACCGUCUUUCAAGGCCAGGGACGAUAAUGACGGUACCUGCAGAAGAAGCUCCGGCAACUACGUGCCAGCAGCCGCGGU